rfam:TPA: Bos taurus chromosome 5, whole genome shotgun sequence.
UCCCUGCUAUCUCAGAUGGUAAAGAAUCUGCCUGCAAUGCAGCAGAUCUGGGUUUGAUUCCCAGAUCGGGAA